AUGCAGUUAUUCCCAUUUGAGCAGCUCUUCAGGGAAACCCUUCUCCAGGUGGUGACUCAAGGUUUCUGGAUCCUUCCGUCUUUUAGCCCUAUCAGUCUCUGAGGGCGUAGAGUCCUUCACUUCCAGCUGCACAGAGGGAAGAGAAAGUUUAAGAAUGGAAGACCAUGAAGGAUGCUUUAUGGACAAGCCUAGAAAUGGUUCCAGUGUCCCUUGGAUGCUAUACCUUGCCAGGAGGGCUGGACCUUAGAAGUCACCUUCCAUAGCCUCUCCAUGAUCCUGGCUCCUGGUUAUCCCUGCCAGCUCCAUAUUGCUGGAAGCAGUUCACCAUGCCUAGCGCCCAUAUACCAGUCAUGACAAAGGAGUAAAAAAAUCUCAAGUUUAUUUUGACCUGCAACUCUUUGAGGAACUACAAGGAUGGUCAUUUCAUGGGUUCUCCUAUUGUAUGUAAAAGAAAAUUCCAAUUUUGGCUUAAGG